GAUGAACGCUAGCGACAGGCUUAACACAUGCAAGUCGAGGGGCAGCACGGUGUAGCGAUACACUGGUGGCGACCGGCGCACGGGUGAGUAACACGUGUGCAACCAACCCCGUACCGGGAGAUAACCCGCGGAAACGUGGACUAACAUCCCAUGACACUCUAGAGCCGCAUGGCUCUAGAUUUAAAAUUCCGGUGGUACGGGACGGGCACGCGCGACAUUAGGUAGUUGGCGGGGUAAGGGCCCACCAAGCCGACGAUGUCUAGGGGUUCUGAGAGGAAGGUCCCCCACACUGGAACUGAGACACGGUCCAGACUCCUACGGGAGGCAGCAGUGAGGAAUAUUGGUCAAUGGGCGAGAGCCUGAACCAGCCAAGUCGCGUGAGGGACGAAUGGUCUAUGGCCUGUAAACCUCUUUUGCCAGGGAAGAAUAAAAGGUACGUGUACCUUCUUGCCAGUACCUGACGAAUAAGCAUCGGCUAACUCCGUGCCAGCAGCCGCGGUAAUACGGGGGAUGCGAGCGUUAUCCGGAUUUAUUGGGUUUAAAGGGCGCGUAGGCGGGACGUCAAGUCAGCGGUAAAAGACUGCAGCUAAACUGUAGCACGCCGUUGAAACUGGCGCCCUCGAGACGAGACGAGGGAGGCGGAACAAGUGAAGUAGCGGUGAAAUGCAUAGAUAUCACUUGGAACCCCGAUAGCGAAGGCGGCUUCCCAGGCUCGAUCUGACGCUGAUGCGCGAGAGCGUGGGUAGCGAACAGG
rnacentral:rRNA from 1 species